CGCGUUACACUGAUGCACUCAACGAGUCUACCUUGGCCGAGAGGCCUGGGAAAUCUUGUUAACAUGCAUCGUGAUAGGGAUAGAUUAUUGCAAUUAUUAAUCUUGAACGAGGAAUUCCUAGUAAACGCAGAUCAUCAAUCUGCAUUGAUUACGUCCCUGCCCUUUGUACACACCGCCCGUCGCACCUACCGAUUGAAUGGUCCGGUGAAGCCUCGGGAUUGCGAUGAGUUUCCUUCAUUGGGAGUUCGUCGCGAGAACCUGUCUAAACCUUAUCAUUUAGAGGAAGGUGAAGUCGUAACAAGGUUUCC
rnacentral:rRNA from 1 species